UACGUAGGGGGCAAGCGUUGUUCGGAAUUACUGGGCGUAAAGGGCGCGUAGGCGGCAUGGCAAGUCAGGAGUGAAAGGCCUGGGCUCAACCGAGGAACUGCUUUUGAGACUGCCAAGCUAGAGUGCGGAAGGGGCAACUGGAAUUCCCAGUGUAGCGGUGAAAUGCGUAGAUAUUGGGAAGAACACCGGAGGCGAAGGCGGGUUGCUGGGCCGACACUGACGCUGAGGCGCGAAAGCCAGGGGAGCAAACGGG
rnacentral:rRNA from 1 species